UACGGAGGGGGCUAGCGUUGUUCGGAAUUACUGGGCGUAAAGCGCACGUAGGCGGCUUUGUAAGUUAGAGGUGAAAGCCCGGGGCUCAACUCCGGAAUUGCCUUUAAGACUGCAUCGCUAGAAUUGUGGAGAGGUAAGUGGAAUUCCGAGUGUAGAGGUGAAAUUCGUAGAUAUUCGGAAGAACACCAGUGGCGAAGGCGACUUACUGGACACAUAUUGAC
rnacentral:rRNA from 1 species